ACUUACAGCCAUACCAGCCUGAAUACGCCCGAUCUUGUCUGAUCUUGGAAGCUAAGCAGGGUCGGGCCUGGUUAGUACUUCGAUGGGAGACUCCCUGGGAAUACCAGGUGCUGUAAGUG
ensembl:rRNA 5S_rRNA 5S ribosomal RNA